rnacentral:tRNA from 1 species
GGAGAGAUGGCCGAGAAGGUCGAAGGCGGUCGCCUGCUAAGCGACUAUACGGACCUAAAAUCCGUAUCGAGGGUUCGAAUCCCUCUCUCUCCGCCA